rnacentral:rRNA from 1 species
AUAUCAAUAAGCGGAGGAAAAGAAACUAACAAGGAUUCCCCUAGUAACGGCGAGUGAAGCGGGAACAGCUCAAAUUUGAAAUCUCCGGGGGCAACCUUGGCGAAUUGUAGUUUAGAGAAGCACUUGUUGAGGGCGGACGCUGUCCAAGUUCCCUGGAAUGGGGUAUCAGAGAGGGUGAGAAUCCCGUAUCUGGCGGCGCGUUUCCAGUCUUCUAUACAGGGUGUUUUGCGUAAGAGUCGG